AUGUAUCUAGUUAUGGCAUAAAC
rnacentral:snRNA from 1 species